rnacentral:rRNA from 1 species
GCCGCUAAACCCCCAAUUUUUUGUGGUUGACCUCGGAUCAGGUAGGAAUACCCGCUGAACUUAAGCAUA